UACGUAGGGUGCAAGCGUUAAUCGGAAUUACUGGGCGUAAAGCGUGCGCAGGCGGUUCUAUAAGAACAGAUGUGAAAUCCCCGGGCUCAACCUGGGAACUGCAUUUGUGACUGUAGAGCUGGAGUGCGGCAGAGGGGGAUGGAAUUCCGCGUGUAGCAGUGAAAUGCGUAGAUAUGCGGAGGAACACCGAUGGCGAAGGCAAUCCCCUGGGCCUGCACUGACGCUCAUGCACGAAAGCGUGGGGAGCAAACAGG
rnacentral:rRNA from 1 species